rnacentral:tRNA from 1 species
GUCGGGAUAGCUCAGAUGGUA